GCCCUGCCUGAAGCCAGCUCUCCUUAUCCACUCCUGCAGGGAGGAAAACACGCAGCUGGAAGAGCUGACGAGAGACAGGAGAUGGAGGAGAGAGGAAGAGAGGAAAGACAUGGACGGUGGACAGGUGGCAGGGGCAGGAUGGACGGAUGCAGCUGAAGAGUCCUAUUCAUCAAUGGCAGUGGCUUAUGGAGGUUGGCUGUGCGGUUAGCGGCUGUACCGAGGACGUGCCAAGCAGUUGCCAUGAGCCACACAGGUGUCAUCGCCUGUAUUCCUCACAGCCACCUCGUGAGAUGCUCGGCCGUGACCAGGGGUUAAGAAAGGCCCAGCCUGUGCUGUGGCUGGAGCAGCCAACACGCAUCUGGUUUGAAGCCCAGGAGCUGACGCCACCAUCCCCUGCAUCACACGGUCCCACAGACGGGAGGGUCCCAGCGGCCCCGCCACAGCCCAGGGUGGCUUCACCGGCUUAUUGCUUCCCCACACAACUUCGUUUGCUCCGAAAAUCAGUCUCCAGUCAGUAACUUUUCUGCGGGCACAGAGGUGAGCCAGGUCACUGUCCCUGCGGGCUGGCUGGACAGACGCCUCUGGCGACAUGACCCUCAGAGCACCCUCAUCCCCAGCAAGGGUCCGGGUCAACCAGAGCCUCGGGGACCCUCCUCACAGAGACUCUGGGAGAACACCUCUUGCAGAAUCCCCCCUCCGUGGGAUCCCACACUUACUUUUUGUUCUUGAAGCAGUGAGCAGCAGUGAGCACCCAGUGCGAGUUCAGCAAGAUGCCCCCGCACGUGUGGUACCUCCGGUUGUUGUGGUACAUAAAGAUCUGGAGGCUGACCAUCCAGGGCCAGGCGCCCGGUU